GUUAAAACUCAAAUGAAUUGACGGGGGCCCGCACAAGCGGUGGAGCAUGUGGUUUAAUUCGAUGCAACGCGAAGAACCUUACCUGGUCUUGACAUCCACGGAAGUUUUCAGAGAUGAGAAUGUGCCUUCGGGAACCGUGAGACAGGUGCUGCAUGGCUGUCGUCAGCUCGUGUUGUGAAAUGUUGGGUUAAGUCCCGCAACGAGCGCAACCCUUAUCCUUUGUUGCCAGCGGUCCGGCCGGGAACUCAAAGGAGACUGCCAGUGAUAAACUGGAGGAAGGUGGGGAUGACGUCAAGUCAUCAUGGCCCUUACGACCAGGGCUACACACGUGCUACAAUGGCGCAUACAAAGAGAAGCGACCUCGCGAGAGCAAGCGGACCUCAUAAAGUGCGUCGUAGUCCGGAUUGGAGUCUGCAACUCGACUCCAUGAAGUCGGAAUCGCUAGUAAUCGUGGAUCAGAAUGCCACGGUGAAUACGUUCCCGGGCCUUGUACACACCGCCCGUCACACCAUGGGAGUGGGUUGCAAAAGAAGUAGGUAGCUUAACCUUCGGGAGGGCGCUUACCACUUUGUGAUUCAUGACUGGGGUGAAGUCGUAACAAGGUAACCGUAGGGGAACCUGCGGUUGGAUCAC
rnacentral:rRNA from 1 species